rnacentral:rRNA from 1 species
UGUAUAGGGAUCUGCCUAGUAGUGGGGACGAACAGCCGGAACGGACUGCUAAUAACCGCAUACGCUCUACGGAGGGAAAGACGGGGGCGUCUUCGGACCUCGUGCUAUUAGAUGAACCUAUAUCAGAUUAGCUAGUUGGUGGGGUAAAGGCCUACCAAGGCGACGAUCUGUAGCUGGUCUGAGAGGAUGAUCAGCCACACUGGGACUGAGACACGGCCCAGACUCCUACGGGAGGCAGCAGUGGGGAAUAUUGGACAAUGGGGGCAACCCUGAUCCAGCAAUGCCGCGUGUGUGAAGAAG